rnacentral:rRNA from 1 species
UACCUGCAGCUCGAGUGGUAACCGCUAUUAUUGGGCCUAAAGCGUCCGUAGCCGGUUUGGUAAAUAUCUGGGUAAAUCGUGAGGCUUAACUUCACGAAUUUCGGAUAGACUGCCAGACUUGGGAUCGGGGGAGGUCAGAGGUACUCCAGGGGUAGCGGUGAAAUGUUGUAAUCCUUGGAGGACCACCGGUAGCGAAGGCGUCUGACUAGAACGAGUCCGACGGUGGGGGACGAAGCCCUGGGGCGCAAACCGGAUUAGAUACCCGGGUAGUCCAGGGUGUAAACAAUGUGGGCUUUGUAUUGGAGGUCCCACGUGGGCAUCCAGUGCAGGAGAGAAGUUGUUAAGCCCACCGCCUGGGAAGUACGGUCGCAAAGCUGAAACUUAAAGGAAUUGGCGGGGAGCACAGCAACGGGAGGAGCGUGCGGUUU